rnacentral:misc_RNA from 1 species
GUCGGGGGUCACAAACACGCAGCAGGAGGAAGACAAGAAGCCCAACGACCAGUCGGCGCAUAUCAACCUGAAGGUCAAAGGCCAGGACGGAAAUGAGGUGUUCUUCAGGAUUAAAAGGAGCACUCAGCUGAAGAAACUAAUGAAUGCUUACUGUGAUCGACAAUCUGUGGAUCUGAACUCCAUUGCUUUUCUAUUCGACGGACGUCGUCUUCGAGCAGAGCAAACCCCCG